GCCGCACGAGCUUUCAAGUUCGUGGCCGGCUGGAAAUAACCGCUACUAAAUAUCGCCACCAUGGGCUGACUAGAUUGUUCUUCGUAAAAUGAGAAGCUUAAGCGCCACCUCGUUAGAGGACCUCCCACUCGUUUUAAUAGUUUGCCCGGUCUGAGACCCACCUAAGUUGGUCCAUUGUAGAACCUCGAUUCAAGGUUCGAAAAACAAUCCCGCCAACUCCACUUUCCUGGCGUCCGUCUUACUAGACUCCGAAACACCAGAGGUCAACAAUACUCACGCAACCCUAACUGCUCGUACUGAGAGUAGCUUUCCACUAUAAAAUCCCUUCAUCACCGGAAGAUUCCAUCACCCGCCCAAAGAUGGCGACACCGAUCAGAAAGCUCAUCAUUUAACUCAACAAACCAUCAAUGAAUUACGUAAGCGCCAAAAGGAGAUCGCUCUUGUGAACUAUAAACUCGAGAACAUUACGUAAACGAUAAGUAACCAAACGUCUGAAACCAACUCAACAUUCGGGGUCAUAUGGUAUCAUCGUUAACCGCGAAGGUCAACUCCUCCUCUAUCUAUAGCACACAAUCUAUCACGGACCGUGCCUACUACUGACCAUCAGUGUCUAUUCGACUCCGGUCUCCAGCGAAUGUUUACGUUACUUCCGUCAAUAAAGUUACAAAUCACAUUUAAUUAACUAUUCAGGAUAUCCAUAUUAUUGGAAAAUACUAAAUUAUGGAACAAAUAAAGAACAAAAAACUAAAUAGAGCAAAAAAAAAACAAUACCGAAUGAAAUGAGAAAGGACCAGAACAAAAAAAAACAAAAAAAAAAACAAUUGACCAGUUCAUUCGAGUGGCAUCGAGUGGUUUGCCCUGUACUCCCCAACAAUUUCUCCGAACAAUCCUUAUUAAAAUCUGCCUUCACGACUGUUCACUUGGAACAGAGUAAAAACAAUCGAAAUCAUCAUUGAUAAUCCUAAAAAACAGGCUCAUUCAGCUCCCGGGUCUACCCCAAUCAUAACGUUGAGCACCGACCUUUUUACUGAAUUUACCGCAACUGAACUGUUCAAUGGAGAUAUGGCCCACCCCGAAGCUUCCCUUCAGGCAAAUUGUUCAUUUCUACCAUUGAACGCAACUACAUUUAUCUUAUUCAAACUUCACACCAGAUUUCAAUCUGAUAAACGAAAUUUGAAAAGAUCUAAACUCCGUGUACAAUCCACGAAUAAAAUCCUUCACACUUAACUUCACACCAACUUCAUACAUGCCCAAGCACUAAACGCACCGUGCGAGGCCGGCUCGAAAUGAACUGUCAAAACGGACGGAGUCAAAACAAAGUGCAACGUAAUCGUGAAAACGUGCAGCGUGAAAAAAAGGCGAUUUCUCGGAAAAAUACUGGAUUUUCCGGCGGAAAAUCUACAUCUGGACCAGAAUUACGGGGGGAGUAUUACUAAAACUUUCUCUAAAUGUGAAUUAAGUGCUUUGUGUGUUUCUUUCAGCUGCUGCGACGUGGGAUUUGAACAAACUACGAAUGGAGGAAUGAUUUGACUUCGAUUGAAAUUUCUAAUUGGAUUGCUACUGGAUAUUGAACGGAACUCUAUUGGAUUCAAAAAACCUAGGAUUGGCUAUUGACUGAAUUUACGGAAUUUACUGGAUGGAAAAAAGGAUGAUCGGAUCAACUAUGCAGCACUAUGGAAGUAGAUUAAGAUGCGGAUGCUACUAUUGACGGCUUAAAUUAGUGGAUACUACAGUGCAACCGGACUGCUGCAGUACAAAGUUCAUCAAUGGAAACUCUCACCGACAGAACAACGAACUUAAAAGGAAACAUAGGACGACUAUUUACAAGAACGUAGAGGUUCCUAACAUUAUCUUUACGGAUCACAUCAAAAAGGACGUCACCGCUGAACUGCAUGUACGAAAACGACUACACAAUCCGUACAUAGUAAACAAAAUGGUGAGAAUUUUAGAACGUAACACUAACAAUAAUCGUAAGUACUAACAUAGAAUAUGAACAGGAUUACUAACUAAUAAUAUUCGGACUAAAUCAGGUUAGGCAGGGUUGAUUCCUUUACCUUAACCUUCGUCAAAUUAUGUCAUUUCCGUUCGUUUACGUUGCCUCGUCAGGGUUUCCGAUCUACUUGUCCCAGGUGAUACAUAGCUGUCUGGUUGGAAAACACUGCUUCCCGUGAUUCCUCCUACUCAAACUUCGGAGUAAUCCCCUUUACCAAUGCACAUUCUUGAAGUUCGUCACCAGUAGAUUGAAUGUUGUUGUGGGACGGCUCAACUCAUUGAGGAGCACUUCAAGAAUGGCCGGUUGUAUUUUGAU